rnacentral:lncRNA from 1 species
CCAGGAACAAAAAGAAGAAUAUAUGCUUGAUAGCAAUUCAAUUGUCAAUAAUCUUUGAGGAUUUAUGCUGAUUUAACCAGAAAUGCUCUUUCAGAACAUGGAUUUAUCACAUGUCAUAGAACAUUGAAGUCACAUUAGAAUGUGAUAAUUUAUCCACUGAACUAGAAGCACAUGGUUUGCAGAACAUUGGCUACAAUAAGAACAUACUCUGCAUCAGAGAGGGUUCAACAUCAACAACAAUGUCUGCAAAAACAGAAUUACAGCUGUGAAGAAGAGAGAAGGGAUUAAGUCACAAAUGAGGAGCUGCAGUGGCCCAUGAACAAUACAUAGAUCCAUCUCCUGGAACUUGUGACCACUCGCCCAGGAUCGCACUCAUGACCACAACAAAGAUGAUGGCUUUUCUGUUUCUCCUGUUGCACCACAUCAGACACCUGCAGCAAAUACUGAGGCGACACUAUGUGAAGUCUGCCUAGUGACUCUUAGAAACUCCAACUAAUGACUUCUCUGGGAGGGAUAAAGUUGGGCACAUAAAAUUAUCUUGUUGAGAAUACAUGGGUACAUUUAUAGUCUCACAUAUAUUUCAUUUAUAAAUUUAAAAUUAUUUUAGACAGUUACAAUUUUUGGAGUAAAAAUAAGUAGAAUAAUAUCAUUUAAAUAAUACUUUUAAACUUUUUCAUAUUUUUUCUGAAUACCUUGAUUAACAUUUAUUUGGUCACAUUAUUUGUCCCAUUUUUUAAAAAGAAGGACAAUAGGCUAUGAGAAAGUAAGUACAUUUGAGUUCCAAUUAUUCUUAAUAUGUUGUAUCAUAGUAUUUCAUUUGCAACGAAGUCAGUUACACAGCAAACUAACCAACUGCAUAAAUAAAAAUAAUAAUAUGAAACUAGAAAUUGACAUUUGAAACUCUUAACUACCAUCAGUACCAAAUAUACUUUUGGUUAUCUUGUCAAAUUAUAGGGAUGAGUGGCUGAGACCAUGCCGGUAUGUUUGUUAGGGUUGAAUGGAGUGCUAGAGUGUUGCUAUUGGCCUUGAAAUAGAUUGAUUUUUUUUUCUUUUUUUUUUUUGCCUUCUACCUGGGGUCAUGGUCUCUGCCUUACUUGCACAGGGUCCUCAUUAUCAAAGCAGAUUAUCUGACACAUAUUAUACAAUAUGUUAAAUAGCUUACUUUAAAUAUACACACUUUCACCAUAUUCAAACGUGAGUACUCAGAACUUAAAAACACAAGAUUUUAUUAAAAACAAUUUUAAUUAAAAAUAAAAUUGUGUUUUAAACUUUAUGUGUUUCCUAGCCUUUUUAAAAAAUAAGCGUUCUUAUUUAACAGUAUAUAAUGCUAUCAACCAAUAAGUUUAAAGUAAGUAUCUGUUUAAGGAAAUUUCUUCAUAAGAAAAUAUACUGAAUUUUCAUAUGGUGUCUAGCUGCACUUUUUUUUAGUGCUUUGUUCAUUUCCUGUCACAAGAUGUUAAUUUCAAAG